CCUACGGGGUGCACCAGUGGGGAAUAUUGCACAAUGGGCGCAAGCCUGAUGCAGCCAUACCGCGUGUAUGAAGUAAGCCUUCGGGUUGUAAAGUACUUUCAGCGGGGAGGAAGGUGUUGAGGUUAAUAACCUCAGCAAUUGACGUUACCCGCAGAAGAAGCACCGGCUAACUCCGUGCCAGCAGCCGCGGUAAUACGGAGGGUGCAAGCGUUAAUCGGAAUUACUGGGCGUAAAGCGCACGCAGGCGGUCUGUCAGGUCGGAUGUGAAAUCCCCGGGCUCAACCUGGGAACUGCAUUCGAAACUGGCAGGCUAGAGUCUUGUAGAGGGGGGUAGAAUUCCAGGUGUAGCGGUGAAAUGCGUAGAGAUCUGGAGGAAUACCGGUGGCGAAGGCGGCCCCCUGGACGAAGACUGACGCUCAGGUGCGAAAGCGUGGGGAGCAAACAGGAUUAGAUACCCCCGUAGUC
rnacentral:rRNA from 1 species